UCGAUAGAGGAGACGACUCGUUCGCUUUUAUUCAGUCUGAACGAGGUAGCGACACCAUCUACCGUCCAAUGGAUUAGAUGUAUUACUACUGAAUCAAGAAGAAAAAUCAUUUCCUUCGUGAUCUUCAGAUAAGUCACACGUGAGGGUCUAAUAAGUUGAACGAAUUGAAGGAGUCAAGGAAACAAUAGCUCUCUCUCUCUCUCUCUCUCUCUCUCUUUCUCUCUCUAAGUACUUUUCUAGUGGUUUUGAGAGUCGACACUUUUUGUUGAAACGUCGCGUUCCAGAAAAGGACCAGAUAAAGGACAAAAAGGAAAGACUUUGUUGGCCAAUUAACAGGCUUCCGCUGCAGUACGAUAAAGUUCUUUCUUUAAACGAAGAGACGGAAAGAAAAAGAGAAUAAAAAUUUGGUGCGAAAGUAGUACCUACCAUUUCGGUGGUUUUACAUUGUGAUCUCAGUAUGUGCACAUACACAUCGCAGGUACAAACGGCGUACAUGCAGCGUGUACGAGGUUGAGAGCGCUCCACGCCUCUAAAUUAAAGGCGCACGUCUGCGAAUCCUCCAGUCGGCCGUCGGAUUUCCGUGGUAGAACCGCUUCGAGGUCGGCACUCCUGUGCUUUCCUCACUUCGAGAAGCUUUUCCAAACCAACCACUUGCUUUCCUCGUCUCUACGUUUUCCACCUCCUUCUCUCUCUCCCACCCUCUCUCCUUCUCUCUCUCUCUCUCUCUCUCCCUCUCCCUCCCUCCCUCCCUCUCUCUCUCUCUCUCUCUCUCUCUCUCUCUCUCUCUCUCUCUCUCUCUCUCUCUCUCUCUCUCUCUUGUGCGAAAAGUGUCUACAAAGUGUGUCGAGUUCGAUAUCCCUCGUGUCAUCACGUCGAAACUCUUCGUCGUUUAAAGCAAAAGAAUUUCUGUGAAUUUCCUCGAUAUAAUUUCUAUUCUAUCCUUUAGUACGUUCACUUUAAAGUGCGUGUUAUUGUUUUAUCAAGUCUUUUUUCUCCAACGAGAAUUAUCAUCUUUCAAUAGAAACAAUUCGACCCGACGGAUAAAACGUGUAGCUUUUCUUGAAUUUCAGAAGUUUGCAACAUUUUCGAGAUGGCAAAGCGUUAAGCUUGACGUAGCAAAAAUAAUCUCGUUAGAAAUUUCUUGGAAAGUGAGCAAGUGAACGUAUCAAUGAUCUUACUUUGUUGACGCGUGAUUCAUCUUUAGAAAAUAAAUUUCUAUAACGCGAAUGAUAAAUUGAGAGACGCGCCAGACAGUGCUGUGAAAGUUUACACGUGAAUUUUUGCUAAGAGAAAGUCGCAUACGACGCCCUUCCGGCACCUUUUCCGAAAGGGUAAUAUUUUACGUGGACGAUUUAACGACGGAGAACUGUCAAAGCUCAACACCAGAGCUCUAUCAUCGUCCGGAAAGCUCAUACAGUCCUUAU